UACGUAGGGGGCAAGCGUUGUCCGGAAUCAUUGGGCGUAAAGCGCGCGUAGGCGGCUUUACAGGUCCGUUGUGAAAACUCGAGGCUCAACCUCGAGACGCCGGUGGAAACCGUAAGGCUAGAGUCCGGAAGAGGAGAGUGGAAUUCCUGGUGUAGCGGUGAAAUGCGCAGAUAUCAGGAGGAACACCCGUGGCGAAAGCGGCUCUCUGGGACGGUACUGACGCUGAGACGCGAAAGCGUGGGGAGCAAACAGG
rnacentral:rRNA from 1 species